UGCAAGUCGAGCGGUAGAGAGAAGCUUGCUUCUCUUGAGAGCGGCGGACGGGUGAGUAAUGCCUAGGAAUCUGCCUAGUGGUGGGGGAUAACGUUCGGAAACGGACGCUAAUACCGCAUACGUCCUACGGGAGAAAGCGGGGGACCUUCGGGCCUCGCGCCAUUAGAUGAGCCUAGGUCGGAUUAGCUAGUUGGUGAGGUAAUGGCUCACCAAGGCGACGAUCCGUAACUGGUCUGAGAGGAUGAUCAGUCACACUGGAACUGAGACACGGUCCAGACUCCUACGGGAGGCAGCAGUGGGGAAUAUUGGACAAUGGGCGAAAGCCUGAUCCAGCCAUGCCGCGUGUGUGAAGAAGGUCUUCGGAUUGUAAAGCACUUUAAGUUGGGAGGAAGGGUAGUAACUUAAUACGUUGCUACCUUGACGUUACCGACAGAAUAAGCACCGGCUAACUUCGUGCCAGCAGCCGCGGUAAUACGAAGGGUGCAAGCGUUAAUCGGAAUUACUGGGCGUAAAGCGCGCGUAGGUGGUUCAGUAAGUUGGAAGUGAAAUCCCCGGGCUCAACCUGGGAACUGCUUUCAAAACUGCUGAGCUAGAGUACGGUAGAGGGUGGUGGAAUUUCCUGUGUAGCGGUGAAAUGCGUAGAUAUAGGAAGGAACACCAGUGGCGAAGGCGACCACCUGGACUGAUACUGACACUGAGGUGCGAAAGCGUGGGGAGCAACAGGAUUAGAUACCCUGGUAGUCCACGCCGUAAACGAUGUCAACUAGCCGUUGGGAGUCUUGAACUCUUAGUGGCGCACUUAACGCAUUAAGUUGACCGCCUGGGGAGUACGGCCGCAAGGUUAAAACUCA
rnacentral:rRNA from 2 species